GGGAGUGUAGCUCAGCUGGUUCAGAGCAUCUGCCUUACAAGCAGAGGGUCCGCGGUUCGAACCCGUGCACUCCCA
rnacentral:tRNA from 1 species